AGAAGGUCUGGAUUCCUGGCUCCAGGAUUGAACGCUGGCGGGCAUGCCUUACACCAUGCAAGUCGAACGGCAGCACGGAGCUUGCUCUGGUGGCGAGGUGGCGAACGGGUGAGUAAUAUAUCGGAACGUACCCUAGAGUGGGGGGAUAACGUAGCGAAAGUUACGCUAAUACCGCAUACGAUCUAAGGAUGAAAGUGGGGGAUCGCAAGACCUCAUGCUCGUGGAGCGGCCGAUAUCUGAUUAGCUAGUUGGUAGGGUAAAAGCCUACCAAGGCAUCGAUCAGUAGCUGGUCUGAGAGGACGACCAGCCACACUGGAACUGAGACACGGUCCAGACUCCUACGGGAGGCAGCAGUGGGGAAUUUUGGACAAUGGGCGAAAGCCUGAUCCAGCAAUGCCGCGUGAGUGAAGAAGGCCUUCGGGUUGUAAAGCUCUUUUGUCAGGGAAGAAACGGUGAGGGCUAAUAUCUUUUGCUAAUGACGGUACCUGAAGAAUAAGCACCGGCUAACUACGUGCCAGCAGCCGCGGUAAUACGUAGGGUGCAAGCGUUAAUCGGAAUUACUGGGCGUAAAGCGUGCGCAGGCGGUUUUGUAAGUCUGAUGUGAAAUCCCCGGGCUCAACCUGGGAAUUGCAUUGGAGACUGCAAGGCUAGAAUCUGGCAGAGGGGGGUAGAAUUCCACGUGUAGCAGUGAAAUGCGUAGAUAUGUGGAGGAACACCGAUGGCGAAGGCAGCCCCCUGGGUCAAGAUUGACGCUCAUGCACGAAAGCGUGGGGAGCAAACAGGAUUAGAUACCCUGGUAGUCCACGCCCUAAACGAUGUCUACUAGUUGUCGGGUCUUAAUUGACUUGGUAACGCAGCUAACGCGUGAAGUAGACCGCCUGGGGAGUACGGUCGCAAGAUUAAAACUCAAAGGAAUUGACGGGGACCCGCACAAGCGGUGGAUGAUGUGGAUUAAUUCGAUGCAACGCGAAAAACCUUACCUACCCUUGACAUGGCUGGAAUCCCCGAGAGAUGGGAUCCAUUGACCCC
rnacentral:rRNA from 1 species